UACGCCAAUCUUCAAGUUUUCAACGGUUGGAAAUCUAAUUCAAAUUUGAAAAUCUAAUUCAAUUUUGAAAUCUAAUUCAAAUUUGAAAAUCUAAUUCAAUUUUGAAACCUAAUUCAUCCCCCAAACCGAGAGAGAGAGAGACGACUGCACAAUUGGGAGAAAACUAUUACGCUCGAGGUCGCUCCAAAAUCCAAGAAAGGGAAGGAAUUCCUCCGGAUCAGCAGCGUCUGAUCUUUGAUGGCCGGCCGCUCGCCGAUUACAAUACCCAGAAAGAAUCGACGUUGCAUUUGGUUUUGAGGCUUUGUGGAGGAAUAAUCGAGCCUUCCUUGAUGAUCUGCGGCAAAUGUUAUGCCCGCCUGCAUCCUCGUGCUGUUAACUGCAGAAAGAAGUGUGGGCACAGUACCAGUUGAGGCCUAAGAAGAAGAUCAAGCAUCCAGUGUUCUGCAAAUUAUCAACGGUUCCCCUGAAUUUUACUCCAUUUUCAACUGCUUUUAUUGGCAUAUCUCUAUCUGCUCGAAAAUAUCCACCCCUCUUUCUCCCCUGCUAUGGUAAUUAAGCAGUUCGUUGGUUGCUAGUUGGAGUUGCGUAGUUGGGGGAUUGAAGAAAUUCGAGUUGAGAUAAUUGCUCUCCGGUUGGAUGGGGAUUUGCCGGCGGCGAGAUGAGUGCGUCUAGAUUUAUUAAGUGCGUGACAGUGACCGUGAGCGAUGGGGCUGUAGGUAAAACAUGUCUGCUCCUUUCUUGCACUAGCAACAAUUUUCUAACGGAUUAUGUCCCUACUGUUUUCGAUAAUUUUAGUGCCAAUGUCGUAGUGGAUGGUAGCACUGUUAAUCUGGGAUUGUGGGAAACUACGGGUCAAGAGGAUUACAAUAGAUUUAGACCGUUGAGCUACCGUGGGACUGAUGUCGCUAUACUCGCCUUCUCUCUUAAUAGCAAGGCCAGUUACGGGAAUGUCUCCAUGAAGUGGAUAUCUGAAUAAAGGUAUUAUGCUCACGGAGUUCCAAUAAUCGUUGUGAGGACAAAACUCGAUCUUCGAGAGGAUAAGCAGUUCUCCGUGGACCACCUUAGAGCAGUGCCCAUCACAACAGCACAGGGAGAUGACUUGAAGGAAUCCAUUGGAGCUGCUGCUUACAUUUAAUGUAGUGCUAAGACACAACAGAAUGUGAAGGCUGUCUUUGAUGCAGUGAAAAAGCAUGCAGCAUAUUAUAAUUGGCAAAGAGGAUUCACAUCAAUUAUUAGACAGUUUCUCUUGUUGUUUUGAAGACCGAUCCGGAUUAUUUUUGGGGAAAUUUUUGGAUGCUUGGAGAGGGAGGGAGUGUUGUAUAUGGUGUCUAGACCCCACCAAACUAUUCCAUCCGUCCUCUUCUCAAUUUAUUCCUUUGCAUCUCACUCUCUCUCACUCAACCAUCACUCAAGCUACCAUCAAAGUACAUAAGAUCUGAGCCUACAUAUCCCACAGCCCGACCCGCCUACUACGAUCCGGUUUCCUUUGAACUAGUAGAAUGGAUAUGAAGCAAACCACUUGCGGAUCUUUGCUGCAGCAACUGCAGCCUGACAAGACGUCAGGAACGAACAAGGAACAGCUUCAAGGUAUAGCUCCUGCACUGGAUAAACUAUGGAAACAAAAGGAUGAGAAGAUAAAAGAGUAUUCUGAUGUUCAAUCUCAAAUACAGAACAUAUCAGCGGAGGUUGCUGGAACUAGUGUCCAGGUUGAGAAUAUCACAGUUGAUGAGGCCAAUCUAUCCAUGAAAAAAUUAGAUAAAGUUUAAUGCCCAGCUUCAAGAUCUUCAAAAGGAAAAGGCUGCACAAGGUUAUAGACAUGUCAGCACAGUUCACGAUCUUUGUACUGUCCUUGCCACGGGACUUCUUUACUACUGUCACAGAAGUGCAUCUAAGCCUGAAUAACGCCACUGGUGUUCACCCAAAAAGCAUCUUUGUGCUGUCCUUCUCCUGGUGAUUUUUCAGAACUUUGUCAAACAUUAAAGAAGGUUAUCACCGAUGUAAACAUUACUGUGGGAAAAAAAGAAAAAAAAAGGAAAAAAGGAAAAAAAGGAAUAAAAAAGGAAAAAAAAACGGCAACCUUGGUAGGGAUCCGAGAACCUUUCAUAAAAAAAAGGAAGGAAAAAAAAGAAAAAAAAACAUUGCUGUUGCAAUUGAAGCUAUUCAACCACUGGACAACUUUGGUAUGGAUCUGAGAACCCAUUUUCCGGAGAAAUUGUAGGAGAAGAAACCUACUUCAACGGAGGCCCUUACCCAAACUCUUCAGGCAAUGCCUAAGUCCGGAUGAUUGAGUGUAAAUGACACUUUUGAAG